rnacentral:rRNA from 1 species
CCGGCUAAAAGUCGGAGGAAGGUGGGGAUGACGUCAAAUCAUCAUGCCCCUUAUGACCUGGGCUACACACGUGCUACAAUGGGCGGUACAAAGGGUCGCGAACCCGCGAGGGGGAGCCAAUCCCAAAAAGCCGCUCUCAGUUCGGAUUGCAGGCUGCAACUCGCCUGCAUGAAGCCGGAAUCGCUAGUAAUCGCGGAUCAGCAUGCCGCGGUGAAUACGUUCCCGGGCCUU